AUUGAACGCUGGCGGCAUGCUUUACACAUGCUAGUCGAACGGCAGCACGGGUGCUUGCACCUGGUGGCGAGUGGCGAACGGGUGAGUAAUAUAUCGGAACGUGUCCGGAAGUGGGGGAUAACGCAGCGAAAGUUGCGCUAAUACCGCAUAUGCCCUGAGGGGGAAAGGAGGGGAUCGUAAGACCUUUCGCUUUCGGAGUGGCCGAUAUCGGAUUGGCUAGUUGGUGAGGUAAAGGCUCACCAAGGCGACGAUCCGUAGCUGGUCUGAGAGGACGACCAGCCACAAUGGGACUGAGACACGGCCCAGACUCCUACGGGAGGCAGCAGUGGGGAAUUUUGGACAAUGGGGGCAACCCUGAUCCAGCCAUGCCGCGUGAGUGAAGAAGGCCUUCGGGUUGUAAAGCUCUUUCGGACAGAAAGAAAUCGUAUCCGCUAAUACCGGGUAUGGAUGACGGUACUGUAAGAAGAAGCACCGGCUAACUACGUGCCAGCCGCCGCCGUAAAAC
rnacentral:rRNA from 1 species